UUGGAGGGCAAGUCUGGUGCCAGCAGCCGCGGUAAUUCCAGCUCCAAUAGCGUAUAUUAAAGUUGUUGCAGUUAAAAAGCUCGUAGUUGAAUUUCGGGAUCAGUACGUUGGUCGUGCCUUAGGUACGUACUGGUGUUACUGGUUCCUACCUUCUGACGAACCAUCAUGUCAUUAAUUUGGUGUGGCGGGGAAUCAGGACUGUUACUUUGAAAAAAUUAGAGUGUUUAAAGCAGGCUCGCGCUUGAAUACAUUAGCAUGGAAUAAUGAAAUAGGACGUUGAUCCUAUUUUGUUGGUUUCUAGGAUUGACGUAAUGAUUAAUAGGGAUAGUUGGGGGCAUUAGUAUUCAAUUGUCAGAGGUGAAAUUCUUGGAUUUAUUGAAGACUAACUACUGCGAAAGCAUUUGCCAAGGAUGUUUUCAUUAAUCAAGAACGAAAGUUAGGGGAUCGAAGACGAUCAGAUACCGUCGUAGUCUUAWCCAUAAACUAUGCCGACUAGGGAUCGGAUGAUGUUAAUUUUUUAAUGACUCAUUCGGCGCCUUACGGGAAAC
rnacentral:rRNA from 1 species